UGGGGAAUAUUGCACAAUGGGCGCAAGCCUGAUGCAGCCAUGCCGCGUGUGUGAAGAAGGCCUUCGGGUUGUAAAGCACUUUCAGCGAGGAGGAAGGUGGUGGACUUAAUACGUUCAUCAAUUGACGUUACUCGCAGAAGAAGCACCGGCUAACUCCGUGCCAGCAGCCGCGGUAAUACGGAGGGUGCAAGCGUUAAUCGGAAUUACUGGGCGUAAAGCGCACGCAGGCGGUUUGUUAAGUCAGAUGUGAAAUCCCCGGGCUCAACCUGGGAACUGCAUUUGAAACUGGCAAGCUAGAGUCUCGUAGAGGGGGGUAGAAUUCCAGGUGUAGCGGUGAAAUGCGUAGAGAUCUGGAGGAAUACCGGUGGCGAAGGCGGCCCCCUGGACGAAGACUGACGCUCAGGUGCGAAAAGCGUGGGGAGCAAAACAGGAUUAGAUACCCCUGGUAGUCCACGCUGUAAAACGAUGUCGAUUUUGGAGGUUGUGCCCCUUGAGGCGUGGCUCCGGAGCUAACGCGUUAAAGUCGACCGCCCUGGGGGAGUACGGCNCAAGGUUAAAACUUAAAUGAA
rnacentral:rRNA from 1 species